CAUUGUGUUUUUAAUAUACAUACAAAACCCUGAAUGGUCAAUUUUUGUGUUGUAGAUGGAGACGAGAGAUCUGGACUUCUGAACAUCUACCAGAAAAGAUAAAAUGUGCAAGCCCUUCAGAACGCUGGGGAGGUUGGGCUGAACUGCAGUGGGAGAGGAGAAGAGAUGCUGGCGUGAAGGGCCGGGGCAGAAGAUCAGGGGAAAAUUGCGGAUGAUCUGAAUGAUAGCAGUGACCACCAGCAACCUACAGAGCUGCCCGACCAGGAAAUUGUCAGACGGAAGCAACGCUUGCAGGCAAAGAAGGCUGAAGCAGGCCAAGGCAGGAAUGAAACAGUCAUAAAUGUUGGAGUGAAGCGACUGACCUCCCCGGUCCACACCCCAGCCCAGCGUCCUGCAUCUGCUGGAGGAUGGUAGAGACCAUGUGGAGGAUGGGGACUUGUCAGUGGAGGAGAACAUGGAAGCAGGAUAUGGCAGUCCCCUAGCGUCCCAGCCACAAGUCCUCUGAAGUGUGUGGAUGACGAUGGUGACUUAGGUGCAUCCUUCGAAUGUCCUGAGGGGGAGACUGGAGAAGCAGACACGCAACUGUGGGAAGAAAUCAAAGGCAUAAAGAACUCACAGCACAAGUCCAAAGUCUGAUCAGCGAGCAGGCCUCUCUGCAGGGUGCAAGGGCACAGCUGGAGAGGGAGCUCCCGAAGCUACAGCCGACGCUUCCUGUUCUGCCUGAUCUCCACUGAGAACACAUGAUGGGGCCUCAUGGGAGUCCACAGAGGAGGACGCCUACUGCCUGGACCUGACCAGAGACUUCACAAGGUGCACACAUACAUGAACCACACGUCACAACCCACAACCACUACAAGAAGAUGGCCCAAGGCCUGGCCCAGAAAUUGAAGAAAGACACUUCCGGUUUUCAGAGGGAGAUCCUCUGCCAUGAGAGAACAGCCCAGGAAAGCUAGAUGGCCUCUGUGACCACGGAGACAGAACUCCAGGUGCUGCAGAAAGAAAAUGACUACAACAGGCAGAAGCCGGCUGACUGCAAGGCCAAG
rnacentral:lncRNA from 1 species